rnacentral:rRNA from 1 species
UACAGGGGGGGCAAGCGUUGUUCGGAAUUACUGGGCGUAAAGGGCUCGUAGGCGGCCGGCUAAGUCCGACGUGAAAUCCCCAGGCUUAACCUGGGAACUGCGUCGGAUACUGGCGGGCUUGAAUCCGGGAGAGGGAUGCGGGAUUCCAGGUGUAGCGGUGAAAUGCGUAGAUAUCUGGAGGAACACCGGUGGCGAAGGCGGCAUCCUGGACCGGCAUUGACGCUGAAUAGCGAAAGCGUGGGGAGCAAACAGG